UAGGGAAUCUUCCACAAUGGACGCAAGUCUGAUGGAGCAACGCCGCGUGAGUGAAGAAGGUUUUCGGAUCGUAAAGCUCUGUUGUUGGUGAAGAAGGAUAGAGGUAGUAACUGGCCUUUAUUUGACGGUAAUCAACCAGAAAGUCACGGCUAACUACGUGCCAGCAGCCGCGGUAAUACGUAGGUGGCAAGCGUUGUCCGGAUUUAUUGGGCGUAAAGCGAGCGCAGGCGGAAGAAUAAGUCUGAUGUGAAAGCCCUCGGCUUAACCGAGGAACUGCAUCGGAAACUGUGUUUCUUGAGUGCAGAAGAGGAGAGUGGAAUUCCAUGUGUAGCGGUGGAAUGCGUAGAUAUAUGGAAGAACACCAGUGGCGAAGGCGACUCUCUGGUCUGCAACUGACGCUGAGGCUCGAAAGCAUGGGUAGCGAACAGG
rnacentral:rRNA from 1 species